rnacentral:rRNA from 1 species
CAGCCUUGGGGCGCAGCAGUGAGGAAUAUUGGUCAAUGGACGAGAGUCUGAACCAGCCAAGUCGCGUGAAGGAUGACUGCCCUAUGGGUUGUAAACUUCUUUUAUAUGGGAAUAAAAUGUUCCACGUGUGGGAUUUUGUAUGUACCAUAUGAAUAAGGAUCGGCUAACUCCGUGCCAGCAGCCGCGGUAAUACGGAGGAUCCGAGCGUUAUCCGGAUUUAUUGGGUUUAAAGGGAGCGUAGGUGGAUUGUUAAGUCAGUUGUGAAAGUUUGCGGCUCACCCGUAAAAUUUCAGUUGAAACUGGCA